rnacentral:rRNA from 1 species
AGUGAACGCUGGCGGUAGGCCUAACACAUGCAAGUCGAACGGCAGCACAGUAAGAGCUUGCUCUUACGGGUGGCGAGUGGCGGCCGGGUGAGGAAUACAUCGGAAUCUACUUUUUCGUGGGGGAUAACGUAGGGAAACUUACGCUAAUACCGCAUACGACCUACGGGUGAAAGCAGGGGAUCUUCGGACCUUGCGCGAUUGAAUGAGCCGAUGUCGGAUUAGCUAGUUGGCGGGGUAAAGGCCCACCAAGGCGACGAUCCGUAGCUGGUCUGAGAGGAUGAUCAGCCACACUGGAACUGAGAGACGGUCCGGACUCCUACGGGAGGCAGCAGUGGGGAAUAUUGGACAAUGGGCGCAAGCCUGAUCCAGCUAUACCGGGUGGGUGAAGAAGGCCUUCGGGUUGUAAAGCCCUUUUGUUGGGAAAGAAAAGCAGCAGGUUAAUACCCCGCUGUUCUGACGGUACCCAAAGAAUAAGCACCGGCUAACUUCGUG